CCAAGACACUCAACGAGACAGCAAAGUAAAAAGGGUCAGGAAGGAAAUGGAUGACACAGAAGAUAAGCAAAGCAACACGGGUAAACUUAAAGAAGUCUUUACGAGGAAAUAUAAAAUGUGCGCUAGCUAUCAGAAGAAAUAAACACCAGUCUACAAACUGAAAGGAUCUACCAGUUAGCUGAAAAGAUGAAGCUGAAAUUGUCAACUCCAAAAUAAACUAAUAAAACUAUCUCAUUCCUGCCCUCUCUAUGUCUGUCGUUUCACUGAGCCCACAGUGGCUUAAUUACUGUGGCUUCCGAGGAGAAGUACUAAAAAGAAGAUGAGUGAAUGGGAAAUGGCCAUUGGCCGAGCGGGCCCAUGGAAAGCCACUCGAAGCCAGUGACAGGCAAAGAUGGGCAUGAAGUACUAGAGCAAGCUCUGAGAAGGUCCAGGGGAAGAGCACAGGUGUUGAAAUUGAGGAUGACCAAACUGCAUUUAGUUCAUGCAAGGUUGUAACAGACAAGUGGCAUCUGGAAAUAAUGAAGACUUUUUGCCCAAUU